rnacentral:rRNA from 1 species
GCGUGCGAUCAUACCAGCACUACUGCACCGGAUCCCAUCAGAACUCUGCAAUUAAGCCUGCUUGGGCGAGAGUAGUACUAGGCUGGGUGACCUCCCUGGAAGUCCUUGUGUUGUACCCC